rnacentral:lncRNA from 1 species
AAUACAGUUUCAACAUAGAGAUAACAAUCGUGGAUAUAUCAGGAUCUUGUCUUGUAGCCCCCAAAUGUAAAUAUACAGUGGAUCUCCUGGGUUUUGUCCCGCAGACUAACUCAUUGUGCGCGGGGAUCUAUCGAAAUCUUGAUUCAUAGUCCUAAAUGUAAAUACCCAGUACUGGGGGCUACCUGGUGCAUUCCUGUAGUUCCAUAUAAUUGUGUAGGGGGAUCUAUCGGAAUCCCACAUCCG